GACGAACGCUGGCGGCGUGCUUAACACAUGCAAGUCGAACGGUAAGGCCCUUCGGGGUACACGAGUGGCGAACGGGUGAGUAACACGUGGGUGAUCUGCCCUGCACUUCGGGAUAAGCCUGGGAAACUGGGUCGAAUACCGGAUAGGACCACUGCCUGCAUGGGGGGUGGUGGAAAGCUUUUGCGGUGUGGGAUGGGCCCGCGGCCUUGCAGCUUGUUGGUGGGGUGAUGGCCUGCCAAGGCGACGCCGGGUGGCCGGCCUGAGAGGCUGACCGGCCACACUGGGACUGAGAUACGGCCCAGACUCCUACGGGAGGCAGCAGUGGGGAAUAUUGCACAAUGGGCGCAAGCCUGAUGCAGCGACGCCGCGUGAGGGAUGACGGCCUUCGGGUUGUAAACCUCUUUCAGCACCGACGAAGCGCAAGUGACGGGAGGUGCAGAAGAAGGACCGGCCAACUACGUGCCAGCCGCCGCCGUAA
rnacentral:rRNA from 1 species